AAGUCGUAACAAGGUUUCCGUAGGUGAACCUGCGGAAGGAUCAUUAACACGUUAUCCACGUAUCACCAUCGAGAACCGUUAAUUUCUACCUCUGGUCAGAAUGAGCAGCAGCAAGAUAGAGUGAUUGGGAGGGUCUGCCUCACGGCGCCAGGCUCUAUUUGCUAUUCGACGUCGCAAGGCUUCGUACUGUUGUAUUUGAUUCGGGAGGCAUCUUCUGGCGCGCAACUCUCCUUCCAUGAGGUGAGCGCUGGGAAACUUAUCUAACAAUUCUAACCCCUUUUUGCUAGUUGACUUUUAUAUGUUGUACUUUGUUUCGGCAAGGUGCACACGUUUAAUUAUUUGAACGUUAAAAAUACAACUCUUAGCAAUGGAUAUCUAGGUUCUC
rnacentral:misc_RNA from 1 species